rnacentral:rRNA from 1 species
UACGGGGGGUGCGAGCGUUGUCCGGAUUCACUGGGCGUAAAGGGCGCGUAGGCGGCUGAAUCAGUCUGAUCUAUAAGGUGUGGGCUUACCCUGCACAUGGAUUGGGGACGGUUGAGCUGGGGGCCAGUCGAGGAAAGCGGAAUGCCGGGUGUAGUGGUGAAAUGCGUAGAGAUCCGGCGGAACACCGGUGGUGAAGGCGGCUUUCUGGGCUGGAACCGACGCUGAGGCGCGAGAGCGCGGGGAGCGAACCGG